GGCGGGUGCGGGCGGCUGCUCGAUGGGCUCCUUGUGGUGAGGGAACGGGGGUUGUCUGUGUCUCCCGAUCCCCCCUUUGGGCUGCUCUCCGUGCAGCCGUGUCCUGGCGGUUGGUUAUUGCAAAGGCAACAAAUAGAAGGGAUGAAUGGAUUCCCUGCAGGAUGUAUGUUCUCCAUGGGACAAAGCCAGAACUGCUGAACAAUUCUUGUAGAGCCUUUUCCUGGCAGCUCGUGGCUGUUCUUGGCAUCAGCAGUUUGAGUCUAGCCUUUGGAGCAUGGAAACCUGGAUUCCCAUCUGAGAGGCUCCACUAAGCAGUCCUCUAACAAGACAAAUUCCUGAUGCUGUGCCCUCAGCGCUACCUCGAGGUGGAGUUUCCUCUUGCGAAAUCAGCGGGUGCUGAAAACGUCUCUGGUGGCUGGGAAAGGCUUCGCUGGCAGUUUCAGAUGUACGUGUCACGAUCCUCAUCUUCCUCCUGCCCCAUCCCGACUGCUGGGAUGCUCACUGAUCUAGAAGAGCCGUGUGUGCAUCAAUUCACUCUGCUCUGUAACAUCAUGGACAGAAGGCACAAUUGUUUCUGCUGUGAUUCCAAAACCAACUGUCGAGAGAAGGCCUUUGGGAGAAGAGCAGCGAGCCAGACAGCAGGCUCCCUGGCAGCGCUGGAUGGAGUUCAAGGAAAACUGUUUGCCUCGCCACCCUCCUGUGAGUUAACAGUAGCUGGUGACUAACAGGGAAGAAACUUCCCUGUGGUGUAAACACAAAAAUGUUUGUAUUUGCCUUCCAGAUAGGUAUUAACGUUAUCUGAUUAGAGCACGUUCUGUUUCUUGAAUUGUAUCGC